rnacentral:rRNA from 1 species
GACGAACGCUGGCGGCGUGCUUAACACAUGCAAGUCGAACGGUGAAGCUCUGCUUUUGUGGUGGGUUAGUGUGGAACGAGUGAGUGACACACGAGUAAGCCGCCCGCUUUGCUUGGGGAUACCUUGGGGACAAUGGCUAUAAUCCGGGAUAGGAGCACCUGGCACAUGGGGGGUUUUGAAAAGUUGGUGCGUUUGGGGAUGGCCUGGGGGCUUAUCAUCUUGUUGGUGGGGUAAUGGCUUACCAAGGCGUGGACGGGUCGCCGGCCUGCGGGGGUGACCGGCCACAGUGGGACUGAGAUACGGCCCAGACUCCUACGGGAGGCAGCAGUGGGGAAUAUUGCACAAUGGGCGGAAGCCUGAUGCAGCGACGCCGCGUGCGGGAUGACGGCCUUCGGGUUGUAAACCGCUUUCGGUUGGGAAGAAGCGAAAGUGACGGUAACUGGAAAAGAAGCACCGGCUAACUACGUG